AGCAGAGAAGGGAAAUGUUACUUGUUGCUUCCAACCAACUUUAUUUUAACAUUCCAGCCGCGAGGCAUUUCACACCGGACAAACUUCCGGGUUCAAAGGUCAUGCACGUUCAUAUAUAUAUAGCUGUCCAAGGCAAAUGCCUGUAACACUCGGCCCGAGCAACGAAACACAAUAUCGAUUGUGUUCUUACCCGUUUAAUGUGACUUCUGUUUUCGGACAUGACUGGUCAGCUUCUCAACAUCGGGCAUAGCCGCCGGUUUGUUUACAACAGCCACCUGCCUGGCAUCCCGCCCUGCUGAUAGAAACGUGUGUCGCAGGCUAUGACGCAAAUCUUUGUUGACAGAAAUGUUGAAAUAUAAUAUUUACUCUACACAUUUCUACAGCAUUGGAAAACGUUAAGAAUGUUUGUGUCAUGUUUGUCCUCCUACUGAAACCAUA